rnacentral:rRNA from 1 species
AUUGAACGCUAGCGGGAUGCUUUACACAUGCAAGUCGAACGGCAGCGCGGACUUCGGUCUGGCGGCGAGUGGCGAACGGGUGAGUAAUGUAUCGGAACGUGCCCAGUAGCGGGGAUUAAUACCGCAAAACCUUACUUAUACCGCCUUCCGCCCUACGGGGGAAGCAGGGGAUCGUUAAACCUUUCACCUUUGGAGCGGCCGUUAUCGGAUUUGCUAGUUGGUGAGGUAACGGCUCACCAAAGCGACGACCCGUAGCUGGUUUGGGAGGACGACCAGCCACACUGGGACUGAGACACGGCCCAGACUCCGACGGGAGGCAGCAGUGGGGAAUUUUGGACAAUGGGGGCAACCCUGAUCCAGCCAUCCCGCGUGUGCGAUGAAGGCCUUCGGGUUGUAAAGCACUUUUGGCAGGAAAGAAACGUCGCGGGCUAAUACCCCGUGGAACUGACGGUACCUGCAGAAUAAGCACCGGCUAACUAC